GAUGAACGCUGGCGGCGUGCCUAAUACAUGCAAGUCGAGCGAACGGACGAGAAGCUUGCUUCUCUGAUGUUAGCGGCGGACGGGUGAGUAACACGUGGAUAACCUACCUAUAAGACUGGGAUAACUUCGGGAAACCGUAGCUAAUACCGGAUAAUAUUCUGAACCGCAUGGUUCAAAAGUGAAAGACGGUCUUGCUGUCACUUAUAGAUGGAUCCGCGCUGCAUUAGCUAGUUGGUAAGGUAACGGCUUACCAAGGCAACGAUGCAUAGCCGACCUGAGAGGGAGAUCGGCCACACUGGAACUGAGACACGGUCCAGACUCCUACGGGAGGCAGCAGUAGGGAAACUUCCGCAAUGGGCGAAAGCCUGACGGAGCAACGCCGCGUGAGGGAUGAAGGUCUUCGGAUCGUAAAACUCUGUUAUUAGGGAAGAACAUAUGUGUAAGUAACUGUGCACAUCUUGACGGUACCUAAUCAGAAAGCCACGGCUAACUACGUG
rnacentral:rRNA from 1 species